GUCCACGCCAUAAACGAUGAGCGCUAGGUGUCACAGGUUUUGACCCUUGUGGUGCCGUAGCUAACGCAUUAAGCGCUCCGCCUGGGGAGUACGGCCGCAAGGCUAAAACUCAAAGGAAUUGACGGGGGCCCGCACAAGCGGUGGAGCAUGUGGUUUAAUUCGACGCAACGCGAAGAACCUUACCUGGGCUAGAAAGUGCGAGUAGCUGGGCGAAAGCUCGGUUUGCCCUUCGGGAGCUCGCAGUUAGGUGCUGCAUGGCUGUCGU
rnacentral:rRNA from 1 species